rnacentral:misc_RNA from 1 species
UGCCUUGAAUCCAUAAUGAAUUGGAUUUAGUAGAAAUCCCCUUUAUUUUAACUGAUAGCUUCUCUGAUUUCUCCACACCAUAAUGAGAUAUAAUUUGGAAAGGAGAUCAGAACACUAUAUCUCAGAACAAGAAAUUGAGUAAAAGAAAUGUAAAAGAGAAAUUAUAGGCACCAUUUUUUUCCCUGCAUGUGAUCAAGGGACGUAUACAUCUUUGCUUGAUAAUAAACAUAUGAUGAUUACCCUUCACAGUUCAGUAUCUGUACAGGGAUAAUGUCAUCAUCUCCAUGUGCCAAAAACAAGUUGGAUCUAGCUGCGUGUGAAUCAGACAUGAAAAUUUUU